UGGGGAAUUUUGCACAAUGGGGGAAACCCUGAUGCAGCGACGCCGCGUGAUUUAGAAGGCCUUCGGGUUGUAAAAAUCUUUUGUAUGGGAAGAAAAUGACAGUACCAUACGAAUAUGGACCGGCUAAUUACGUGCCAGCAGCCGCGGUAAUACGUAAGGUCCGAGCGUUGUCCGGAAUCAUUGGGCGUAAAGGGUACGUAGGCGGAUAAGCAAGUUAGAAGUGAAAUCCUAUAGCUCAACUAUAGUAAGCUUUUAAAACUGUUCAUCUUGAGGUAUGGAAGGGAAAGUGGAAUUCCUAGUGUAGCGGUGAAAUGCGCAGAUAUUAGGAGGAAUACCGGUGGCGAAGGCGACUUUCUGGCCAUAAACUGACGCUGAGGUACGAAAGCGUGGGUAGCAAACAGG
rnacentral:rRNA from 1 species